rnacentral:rRNA from 1 species
AUUGAACGCUGGCGGCAGGCCUAACACAUGCAAGUCGAGCGAGCGGCGGACGGGGGAGUAAUGUAUGGGGACUGCCCGAUAGAGGGGGAGAACUACUGGAAACGGUAGCUAAUACCGCAUAUUACCGGAGAACCCAUAUGGGAUUAGCUAGUAGGUGAGGUAAUGGCUCACCUAGGCGACGAUCCCUCGCUGGGCUGAGAGGAUGACCAGCCACACUGGGACUGAGACACGGCCCAGACUCCUACGGAGGCAGCAGUGGGGAAUAUUGCACAAUGGGCGCAAGCCUGAUGCAGCCAUGCCGCGUGUAUGAAGAAGGCCCUAGGGUUGUAAAGUACUUUCAGUCGGGAGGCGUUACCGGCAGAAGAAGCACCGGCUAACUCCGUGCCAGCAGCCGCGGUAAUUC